ACGGGUGAGUAAUGCCUAGGAAUCUGCCUGGUAGUGGGGGAUAACGCUCGGAAACGGACGCUAAUACCGCAUACGUCCUACGGGAGAAAGCAGGGGACCUUCGGGCCUUGCGCUAUCAGAUGAGCCUAGGUCGGAUUAGCUAGUUGGUGAGGUAAUGGCUCACCAAGGCGACGAUCCGUAACUGGUCUGAGAGGAUGAUCAGUCACACUGGAACUGAGACACGGUCCAGACUCCUACGGGAGGCAGCAGUGGGGAAUAUUGGACAAUGGGCGAAAGCCUGAUCCAGCCAUGCCGCGUGUGUGAAGAAGGUCUUCGGAUUGUAAAGCACUUUAAGUUGGGAGGAAGGGCAUUAACCUAAUACGUUGGUGUCUUGACGUUACCGACAGAAUAAGCACCGGCUAACUCUGUGCCAGCAGCCGCGGUAAUACAGAGGGUGCAAGCGUUAAUCGGAAUUACUGGGCGUAAAGCGCGCGUAGGUGGUUCGUUAAGUUGGAUGUGAAAUCCCCGGGCUCAACCUGGGAACUGCAUUCAAAACUGACGAGCUAGAGUAUGGUAGAGGGUGGUGGAAUUUCCUGUGUAGCGGUG
rnacentral:rRNA from 1 species